rnacentral:rRNA from 1 species
ACGAACGCUGGCGGCGUGCUUAACACAUGCAAGUCGAACGGAAAGGCCUUUUCGGAGGUACUCGAGUGGCGACCGGGUGAGUAACACGUGGGUGAUCUGCCCUGCACUCUGGGAUAAGCCUGGGAAACUGGGUCUAAUACCGGAUAGGACCGCACUCUAGUGUGUGUGGUGGAAAGUUGUUUCGGUGUAGGAUGAGCCCGCGGCCUAUCAGCUUGUUGGUGGGGUAAUGGCCUACCAAGGCGGCGACGGGUAGCCGGACUGAGAGGUUGGUCGGCCACAUUGGGACUGAGGUACGGCACAGACGCCUACGGGAGGCAGCAGUGGGGAAUAUUGAACAAUGGGCGCAAGCCUGAUGCAGCGACGCCGCGUGGGGGAUGACGGCCUUCGGGUUGUAAACUCCUUGCGCCAGGGACGAAGCGUUUUGUGACGGUACCUGGAGAAGAAGCACCGGCUAACUACGUG